AGAGUUUGAUCCUGGCUCAGGACGAACGCUGGCGGCACGCUUAACACAUGCAAGUCGAACGAGAGAAGAGGAGCUUGCUUUUCUGAUCUAGUGGCGGACGGGUGAGUAACACGUGAGCAAUCUGCCUUUCAGAGGGGGAUACCGAUUGGAAACGAUCGUUAAUACCGCAUAACAUAAUUGAACUGCAUGAUUUGAUUAUCAAAGAUUUAUCGCUGAAAGAUGAGCUCGCGUCUGAUCAGCUAGUUGGUAAGGUAACGGCUUACCAAGGCGACGAUCAGUAGCCGGACUGAGAGGUCGAUCGGCCACAUUGGGACUGAGACACGGCCCAGACUCCUACGGGAGGCAGCAGUGGGGAAUAUUGCACAAUGGAGGAAACUCUGAUGCAGCGAUGCCGCGUGAGGGAAGAAGGUUUUAGGAUUGUAAACCUCUGUCUUCAGGGACGAAAAAAGACGGUACCUGAGGAGGAAGCUCCGGCUAACUACGUGCCAGCAGCCGCGGUAAUACGUAGGGAGCGAGCGUUGUCCGGAAUUACUGGGUGUAAAGGGAGCAUAGGCGGGAUCGCAAGUCAGAUGUGAAAACUAUGGGCUUAACCCAUAAACUGCAUUUGAAACUGUGGUUCUUGAGUGAAGUAGAGGUAAGCGGAAUUCCUAGUGUAGCGGUGAAAUGCGUAGAUAUUAGGAGGAACAUCAGUGGCGAAGGCGGCUUACUGGGCUUUAACUGACGCUGAGGCUCGAAAGCGUGGGGAGCAAACAGGAUUAGAUACCCUGGUAGUCCACGCCGUAAACGAUGAUUACUAGGUGUGGGGGGACUGACCCCUUCCGUGCCGCAGCAAACGCAAUAAGUAAUCCACCUGGGGAGUACGACCGCAAGGCUGAAACUCAAAGGAAUUGACGGGGGCCCGCACAAGCAGUGGAGUAUGUGGAUUAAUUCGAAGCAACGCGAAGAACCUUACCAGGUCUUGACAUCGUAUGCAUAGCUCAGAGAUGAGUGAAAUCUCUUCGGAGACAUAUAGACAGGUGGUGCAUGGUUGUCGUCAGCUCGUGUCGUGAGAUGUUGGGUUAAGUCCCGCAACGAGCGCAACCCUUACUGUUAGUUGCUACGCAAGAGCACUCUAGCAGGACUGCCGUUGACAAAACGGAGGAAGGUGGGGAUGACGUCAAAUCAUCAUGCCCCUUAUGACCUGGGCCUCACACGUACUACAAUGGCUGUCAACAGAGGGAAGCAAAGCCGCGAGGUGGAGCGAGCCCCUAAAAGCAGUCUUAGUUCGGAUUGUAGGCUGCAACCCGCCUACAUGAAGUCGGAAUUGCUAGUAAUCGCAGAUCAGCAUGCUGCGGUGAAUACGUUCCCGGGCCUUGUACACACCGCCCGUCACGCCAUGGGAGUCGGUAACACCCGAAGCCUGUAGUCUAACCGCAAGGAGGACGCAGUCGAAGGUGGGAUUGAUGACUGGGGUGAAGUCGUAACAAGGUA
rnacentral:rRNA from 1 species